GAUGAAGAACGUAGCGAAAUGCGAUACGUAAUGUGAAUUGCAGAAUUCAGUGAAUCAUCGAGUCUUUGAACGCACAUUGCGCCCCCUGGUAUUCCGGGGGGCAUGCCUGUUCGAGCGUCAUUACAACCCUCAGGCCCCCGGGCCUGGCGUUGGGGAUCGGCGGAGCCCCCCGUGGGCACACGCCGUCCCCCAAAUGCAGUGGCGGUCCCGCCGCAGCUUCCAUCGCGUAGUAGCUAACACCUCGCGACUGGAGAGCGGCGCGGCCACGCCGUAAAACACCCAACUUCUGAAUGUUGACCUCGAAUCAGGUAGGAAUACCCGCUGAACUUAAGCAUAUCAAUAAGCGGAGGA
rnacentral:misc_RNA from 1 species